rnacentral:rRNA from 1 species
GACGAACGCUGGCGGCGUGCUUAACACAUGCAAGUCGAACGGUGAAGCUCCAGCUUGCUGGAGUGGAUCAGUGGCGAACGGGUGAGUAACACGUGAGCAACCUGCCCCUGACUCUGGAAUAAGCGCUGGAAACGGCGUCUAAUACUGGAUACGAGAAGGGUCCGCAUGGGCACUUUCUGGCAAGUUUUUCGGUUGGGGAUGGGCUCGCGGCCUACCAGCUUGUUGGUGAGGUAAUGGCUCACCAAGGCGACGACGGAUAGCCGGCCUGAGAGGGCGACCGGCCACACUAGGACUAAGACACGGCCCAGACGCCUACGGGGGACAACAGUGGAGAAUAUUGCACAAUGGGCGAAAGCCUGUUACAGCGGCGCCGCGUGAGGGAUGACGGCCUUCGGGUUAUAAACCUCUUUCAGCAUGGAAGAAGCGAAAGUGACGGUACCUGCAGAAGAAGCACCGGCUAACUACGUG